rnacentral:rRNA from 1 species
AGACGUCUACAUUAGAUACCCGUGUAGUCCCAGCCGUAAACUAUGCGCGUUAGGUGUAUCGGUGACCACGAGUCACCGAGGUGCCGAAGGGAAACCGUGAAACGUGCCGCCUGGGAAGUACGGUCGCAAGGCUGAACUUAAAGGAAUUGGCGGGGAGCACCACAACGGGUGGAGCCUGCGGUUUAAUUGGACUCAACGCCGGGAAGCUCACCGGAUAAGACAGCGGAAUGAUUGCCGGGCUGAAGACUCUGCAUGACUAGCUG